rnacentral:rRNA from 1 species
UAAUGGCGGUUAGUGGCGACGGGUGAGUAACACGUGGGCAAUCUGCCCUUCACUCUGGGACAAGCCCUGGAAACGGGGUCUAAUACCGGAUAACACUGUCUCGGGCAUCUGGGAUGGUUAAAAGCUCCGGCGGUGAAGGAUGAGCCCGCGGCCUAUCAGCUUGUUGGUGGGGUGAUGGCCUACCAAGGCGACGACGGGUAGCCGGCCUGAGAGGGCGACCGGCCACACUGGGACUGAGACACGGCCCAGACUCCUACGGGAGGCAGCAGUGGGGAAUAUUGCACAAUGGGCGAAAGCCUGAUGCAGCGACGCCGCGUGAGGGAUGACGGCCUUCGGGUUGUAAACCUCUUUCAGCAGGGAAGAAGCGACCAGGUUUUCCUGGGUGUGACGGUACCUGCAGAAGAAGCACCGGCUAACUACGUGCCAGCAGCCGCGGUAAUACGUAGGGUGCGAGCGUUGUCCGGAAUUAUUGGGCGUAAAGAGCUCGUAGGCGGCUUGUCACGUCGGUUGUGAAAGCCCGGGGCUUAACCCCGGGUCUGCAGUCGAUACGGGCAGGCUAGAGUGUGGUAGGGGAGAUCGGAAUUCCUGGUGUAGCGGUGAAAUGCGCAGAUAUCAGGAGGAACACCGGUGGCGAAAGCGGAUCUCUGGGCCAUUACUGACGCUGAGGAGCGAAAGCGUGGGGAGCGAACAGGAUUAGAUACCCUGGUAGUCCACGCCGUAACGUUGGGAACUAGGUGUUGGCGACAUUCCACGUCGUCGUGCCGCAGCUAACGCAUUAAGUUCCCCGCCUGGGGGAGUACGGCCGCAAGGCUAAAACUCAAGGAAUUUGACGGGGGCCCGCCACAAGCCAGCC